CCUACGGGUGGCAGCAGUGAGGAAUAUUGGUCAAUGGACGAGAGUCUGAACCAGCCAAGUAGCGUGAAGGAUGACUGCCCUAUGGGUUGUAAACUUCUUUUAUAUGGGAAUAAAAUGUUCCACGUGUGGGCUUUUGUAUGUACCAUAUGAAUAAGGAUGGGCUAACUCCGUGCCAGCAGCCGCGGUAAUACGGAGGAUCCGAGCGUUACCCGGAUUUAUUGGGUUUAAAGGGAGCGUAGGUGGAUUUUUAAGUCAGUUGUGAAAGUUUGAGGGUCAACCGUAAAACUGCAGUUGAAACUGGCAGUCUAGAGUAUAGUAGAGGUAUGCGGAAUGCGUGGUGUAGCGGUGAAAUGCUUAGAUAUCACGAAGAACUCCGAUUGCGAAGGCAGCAUACUGG
rnacentral:rRNA from 1 species